AAUUUUUACUCAUUUACAUUUUACCGACCCUCCCGUGGUACUUAUAUAAAUACGUUAGAUGCCACUGGAAACAACUGCACCGAGAUACAAAGAAGAAAUGGCGUACCAUCUUCUAUACACAUUUUUUGUCGUGGUAGUAAUUACGAAUCACGUUAUCAUCGUUGACAGUUGCACUUGUCUCUACACAGACCCUAGACAAGAUAUAUGCACCUCUUCCGUUGCAAUUAAUGCAACCGUGGUGUCAACCUCAUACCCGGAGGGUGAACCUGAUUCACCAUAUUAUGGAUUGUACCCUGUUCGAUACGAAUUAAAAAUUCACAACGUUUUCAACUCUCCCGGAGGCAUUGACGAUGUACCAAAUGUCGUGGAUUCGUUUUUACCAGGAAGUUUAUGUGGACUCUCUUGCAGAUAACACAACCUACAUCUUGGCUGGAUACAUCGUAAAUGAUACUUAUAACCCUGGAAACCAAGUGAUUGUUUUUGUUGGAGGAGGAAGACACAACAUGUUCAACGACCUCCCGCUAAAGACAUUGUUUCAGGUAUGGACCGGAAUCGGGAUAGAACUACAGACCUUUCGAAAGCCUGCCGGAUGUCUUUCCCAGACGAAGAUUUUUACAAAUAAGCGAUAUUUGUAGUCCUCAUCGGCGAAGGGCAAAUGAUUUGAAAUCAUUUCGCCGAGGUCGCCUUUGAAAAGAAAGUGACGGGUUUAGUAUCAUCACUUAAUUGAAUGUAGCCUGUGCUAUUGCUUGGUCACAAUCUAUGCUUUCAAAUGAUCUUCUAAUACAAUUUAUUGUGUGGUGUCUUUGAAAAGUCUCCAUGAACUUAAAUUCAGCGUUGUCGCAUUACAUUUUCUGAUCCUUUGUGAACAUUGAGUCUAUUCCUGUUAAGCCGGUGCUGGUGGGCGUUGCGAAUUUCAUGACUUCUAAUGAACAAACUUAAUCAAAUAUAAUCUAUCAUUGAAUUGAUUUGCCGAU